GGGCCAGUAGAUCAACGGUAGAUAUAAAUUAGUCGAUAUCGUCUCCUUCGCAGGGAGAAGGCUUCGGGUUCAAAUCCCGACUGGUCCA
rnacentral:tRNA from 1 species